GAUUGAGUCUGACAAAGGAGACAACACCUAAGAGGAGAAAGAGUUGUCGGAGAAGAGGAAAAGGAAAGGAUGUUAAGGAUGUAAAAAGAAACUAUUCCACAAUAUUUCCUUCCAAUUUGUGAUUGUCAAGAAAUAGCCUGUUACAUCCGUCCGGCUAUGAUCAAUUACAACCGGUCUUAUCCUAUAAUACUGACUCCACCUAUUGUGUAGCCUGUUCAUGAAAGCUUUUUCAUUUCCUUCUCUAAAACACCCAGGCUUCUUCAGGACUUUCCCAGGAGAAAUCAGAAACAACAGCACCGUAGCUGAACUGAGUAAAGAUACUACCCACAGGAGCUUCAUCCACAGAAAAAUUUGAGGAGGAAUAAGUCUCCACUGAUCACGAAACUUGAUUGACAAGUGAUUCCUGGCAAGUGGAAUGCAAAAACAUCACAUCAAUGAGCACUUAGCAGUGGAGAUGUCACAGACAUGAAAAAAGCGGAUUAGCGCUGUGUAGAUCAAACAACAACUCUACUUAGCUGCCAUUCAACCCCCAUACUUCCUGCAUCUAACAUGUAACCUACCUGAAUCGUGGUCAUCCCCAUGUCGACUCCGACCAGUAUCUUCCUGUCGAGCAGCUGAGCAGUCUGGGGGUCCUCCACCUUCAGGAAGUCCCACACCAGCUCUGUG